ACGGGGGGGACAAGCGUUGUUCGGAUUCACUGGGCGUAAAGGGCGCGUAGGCGGGCCUUCAAGUCAGGUGUGAAAACUGGCAGCUCAACUGCCAGCUUGCACUUGAUACUGUCGGUCUUGAGUACAGGAGGGGAAAGUGGAAUUCCAGGUGUAGCGGUGAAAUGCGUAGAUAUCUGGAAGAACACCGGUAGCGAAGGCGACUUUCUGGCCUGAUACUGACGCUGAAGCGCGAAGGCUAGGGUAGCAAACAG
rnacentral:rRNA from 1 species